GUCCCUCCGGGAACAUCUAAUAAAACUGGAAUGAUACAGAGAAAAUUAACAUAGCCCUUGCACAAGGAUGACAUCUCGAAGAAAUCGCUUCGCAAAACCAAU